UACAGAGGGUGCUAACGUUGUUCGGAAUCACUGGGCAUAAAGCGCACGUAGGCGGCUUGGUAAGUGCGGUGUGAAAGCCCCCGGCCUAACCGGGGAGCUGCAUCGCAGACUGCCAGGCUCGAGAGCGGGAGGGGAGACUGGAACUCCUGGUGGAGCGGUGAAAUGCGUAGAUAUCAGGAGGAACACCGGUGGCGAAGGCGGGUCUCUGGGCAGUAACUGACGCUGAGGAGCGAAAGCGUGGGGAGCGAACAGG
rnacentral:rRNA from 1 species